UACGGAGGGUGCGAGCGUUGUCCGGAAUUACUGGGCGUAAAGCGCACGUAGGCGGCUCUUUAAGUCGGGGGUGAAAUCCUGGAGCUCAACUCCAGAACUGCCUUCGAUACUGAAGAGCUCGAGUCCGGGAGAGGUGAGUGGAACUGCGAGUGUAGAGGUGAAAUUCGUAGAUAUUCGCAAGAACACCAGUGGCGAAGGCGGCUCACUGGCCCGGUACUGACGCUGAGGUGCGAAAGCGUGGGGAGCAAACCGG
rnacentral:rRNA from 1 species